GUGUUGCGCAGGCGCUUUGAGGUCUUUGAGCCUUACGGGGCCGCAGCGAGCAGGUUGGCCCCCAAGCUAACCCGACCUAGGGCCUCGGGACACCUGGAUUGAACCGAUUCUGCUGAAUCCUGCUGAUCCAUCUUUCCCGGAAAGCACCUCAGAUUGCUCAUUUCUCUGGGUUCCCUGGGCCUGGUCCAGGGUUUCAACGCCUUCCACCUGGCCUGUUGCAGCUGCACAAAGACGCUCCCUCUUCUAAGCUUCAGUUCCGCUUUCCAACACCAACCAGACUUUCUUGCAAAACUUGGUAUUUCAACUAGUCCGCAAAUAUUUCUUGAGUACCAGAUAUGUGGAAGUAGCUUUCCUGGAAUGAGGAAAGCAAGAUUUGGCUCCCAAGAUUCAUCAUCGACUUGCAAAGAUAAAACAAAAACACAAAUAACUAUAGUAUCAGAUAGUAUAUAUUAGGCGAUUGAGGCAGAAUCUGAGAGUUCAAGGAAGAUAACGACCCUGACUCUUUACUUCAUGAUGUGGAUUCAUUUGGUAGAGGAUUGGAAAUGAGAUUCUUAAGACUGAUGCCCACCUUUUGGUUCUGUGAGCCAUGUUGCAUGCUGUGUUCUUCUGUGUAUCCCCAGGACCUCAAAAGAACUCUUAAGAAGAGAGAUCUUGGUAGCAGAACAUGAACAAUGAAGCUUCAAGUGAGGGAACUGGGAGGUUUUGCUACCUGCCUUAGGUCCCUGGGUUGCAACUUAAAGGAACCCAGCUCAAAGUAGUAUCAGGGGGAUUCAUUUCGAGGAUACUUGUGGGUCUCGGAACCCAAGGAGAAGACUGCAGGUGUGCCUGUAAACUUGAACCAGGGGCCAGAAGAAAUUCAGGACCUUCUUGUAACCCUUUGCUUCUACUUAUAUAUAUACUGAUGUUUGAUAUUUUCUUGUUACUGCUGACUGGCUUUUCCUGCUCUCAGAUGGCAUGGCAAAAUGUGGCUGUUGAGGGCUCCUAAGUUUUCUUGCCCUCAAGUGGAACUUCAUGAGAAGAGACUGACCUCUUCUUUUUUGUUUCUGCCAUCUCUGGUCCCAGCCUUUUCCAAGAGAACACCGAUGAGGAGAGAAUGGCAGCUGUGCCCCUAACAGCCGCACGGCAGGUGAAUUGGACUGACUUCAAUCUGAAGCUUCCCUGCCAGCCAGACAGUGAAUGCCUUGGAGACGGGCCCCAUCUGGUGGAAGAUGGCCUCCGCAGAGAAUACUCACAAGUACCCUGUCUGGCUCCGGAUUCUCUCCUUCCUCACCACACAGCCCAGCUGCAGGGACCUUCCUUGUGAGUGGCCCUUCAUAAAGCCUUGGCGACCGGCCCCCUCGUGAGUUUGUAAUGGUUGGGGAGUGGAGGGUUGAGGCAGCUCUGUCCUGAGCAAUGUGCCUGGUGGUUCAGGGGGUGCUUAAAAUUUCAUGAGAAUGUAAACACCCUGAAUCCUCUGGUCUGGACAGGAUGUAACUUCCUUUUAAAGAAAUGCUGUAUCUUUGAA